GACGAACGCUGGCGGCGCGCCUAACACAUGCAAGUCGAACGGAGUUGUGUUGAAAGCUUGCUGGAUAUACAACUUAGUGGCGGACGGGUGAGUAACACGUGAGUAACCUGCCUCUCAGAGUGGAAGUAACGUUUGGAAACGAACGCUAAUACCGCAUAACGUGAGAAGAGGGCGAAUCCGUCUUUUUACCAAAGAUUUAUCGCUGAGAGAUGGGCUCGCGGCCGAUUAGGUAGUUGGUGAGAUAACAGCCCACCAAGCCGACGAUCGGUAGCCGGACUGAGAGGUUGAUCGGCCACAUUGGGACUGAGACACGGCCCAG
rnacentral:rRNA from 1 species